GCGUCUUAGCAUGCAGUCGGACGGCAGCGGGGGGCUUGCCCCCCGUGAGAGUGGCGGACUGGUGAGUAACGCGUGGGUGACCUACCUUGUGGUUGGGGAUAGCCGUUAGAAAUAGCGGGUAAUACCGGAUAAGCUUGUCGCGUUAUGGCGCGGCGAGGAAAGGGGCUUUGGCCCCGCCAUGGGAUGGGCCCGCGUCCCAUUAGCUUGUUGGGGGUGUAACGGACCACCAAGGCGAUGAUGGGUAGCCGGCCUGAGAGGGUGAACGGCCACACUGGGACUGAGAUACGGCCCAGACUCCUACGGGAGGCAGCAGCUAAGAAUAUUCCGCAAUGGGGGGAACCCUGACGGAGCGACGCCGCGUGGAUGAGGAAGGCCGAAAGGUUGUAAAAUCCUUUUGCCGGAGAAGAAUAAGGGGGGUAGGGAAUGACCUUCUGAUGACGUUAUCCGGUGAAUAAGCCCCGGCUAAUUACGUGCCAGCAGCCGCGGUAACACGUAAGGGGCGAGCGUUGUUCGGAAUUAUUGGGCGUAAAGGGCGCGUAGGCGGUUACGUAAGUCUGGCGUGAAAUCCCCGGGCCUAACCCGGGAACGGCGUUGGAAACUAGGUGACUUGAGUCUUGGAGGGGGAGUUGGAAUUCCUGGUGUAGGGGUGAAAUCUGUAGAUAUCAGGAAGAACACCGGUGGCGAAGGCGAACUUCCAGCCGAUGACUGACGCUGAGGCGCGAAAGCGCGGGGAGCAAACAGGAUUAGAUACCCUGGUAGUCCGCGCCAUAAACGAUGCACACUAUGUGUUGGGCCGAGCGGUUCAGUGCCGGAGCGAACGUGAUAAGUGUGCCGCCUGGGGAGUAUGCCCGCAAGGGUGAAACUCAAGGAAUUGACGGGGGCCCGCACAAGCGGUGGAGCAUGUGGUUUAAUUCGAUGAUACGCGAGGAACCUUACCU
rnacentral:rRNA from 1 species